GGAAUUUUCCGCAAUGGGCGAAAGCCUGACGGAGCAACGCCGCGUGAGGGAUGAAGGCCUCUGGGCUGUAAACCUCUUUUAUCAAGGAAGAAGAUCUGACGGUACUUGAUGAAUAAGCCACGGCUAAUUCCGUGCCAGCAGCCGCGGUAAUACGGGAGUGGCAAGCGUUAUCCGGAAUUAUUGGGCGUAAAGCGUCCGCAGGCGGCCCUUCAAGUCUGCUGUUAAAAAGUGGAGCUUAACUCCAUUUCGGCAGUGGAAACUGACAGACUAGAGUGCGGUAGGGGCAGAGGGAAUUCCCGGUGUAGCGGUGAAAUGCGUAGAUAUCGGGAAGAACACCAGUGGCGAAGGCGCUCUGCUGGGCCAUAACCGACGCUCAUGGACGAAAGCCAGGGGAGCGAAAGGGAUUAGAUACCCCAGUAGUC
rnacentral:rRNA from 1 species